rnacentral:rRNA from 1 species
GAUGAACGCUGGCGGCGUGCCUAAUACAUGCAAGUCGAGCGAACAGACGAGGAGCUUGCUCCUCUGACGUUAGCGGCGGACGGGUGAGUAACACGUGGAUAACCUACCUAUAAGACUGGGAUAACUUCGGGAAACCGGAGCUAAUACCGGAUAAUAUAUUGAACCGCAUGGUUCAAUAGUGAAAGACGGUUUUGCUGUCACUUAUAGAUGGAUCCGCGCCGCAUUAGCUAGUUGGUAAGGUAACGGCUUACCAAGGCGACGAUUCGUAGCCGACCUGAGAGGGUGAUCGGCCACACUGGAACUGAGACACGGUCCAGACUCCUACGGGAGGCAGCAGUAGGGAAUCUUCCGCAAUGGGCGAAAGCCUGACGGAGCAACGCCGCGUGAGUGAUGAAGGUCUUCGGAUCGUAAAACUCUGUUAUUAGGGAAGAACAAAUGUGUAAGUAAAUAUGCACGUCUUGACGGUACCUAAUCAGAAAGCCACGGCUAACUACGUG